rnacentral:piRNA from 1 species
UACAGGAAUGUUGUGAUAAGCUCUGCAGA